rnacentral:lncRNA from 1 species
CCUGCUCGUGCAUUUGACCACCAACAUCUGUGAAGGUACUGGUUAUUACAACAUACUAGUACAGCCCACCACAGCCUGUUAAAAAGCUGUAACUAGGCGGUAGGCUCUAGGGCUACUUGCCUGACUGCUGCAUCUGGGAGGAAAAAAGGAAGGGAAAGAGGAGGGGAUUAUGCUUCUCAUGGGCUCUGCCUGAGGAAAACUGUUGGAUGGGGAAGGCCAAGGAAAGCUGUCCUGUGAAGGAGAGGGAGGAAUGCUGUAAAGAGCAAAGAGCGUAUAUGCCAUGUGAUGAAAAAGCACUUGUCUCAGUUUCCAGGCACCGGUCCAGAGAGGACUGAUAAACCUGUGGCAACCUGGGAAGUUGCUGACAGUUGCUGGACUGGAAGAAAAGAUUUGCUCUGCAAGAAUGCAGAGGAAGACUCUAAGUACACCAUCAUCAGAUACUUUCAUAUAAGGAUUACUGAUUAAUGCUCCUUACUGUAACAGAUAGAAAUGGUUUAUGUCUGCUAAUGGAUUUCCAAAUAUUCCCAAAGAGUGGCUGUUGAGACACACUCAAGUUUUGCAUUCAGAAGGUAAUGAUGUGAUAGUAAAAGAAAACUAAAUUGGACUGAUGGAAAUAUUUUGUCACAGUGUCUUAAAUCCAAAUCACCUACUGGGUUUCUAUUUUGCUUCUGAUGUCUGCUAGAUAAUGAAGGAUUGACUUUUAACAUUCAUUAUAACAUUGCAUUAUAGUUAUGGAUGAAAAAACACUCUCAUGAUAACACCUUCCAUUCAGCUGCAUAAAACUUUUUUGACAAAAUUGCCAUUUGGGCUCAAAUUACUUAUGCUUGUUCUCCUCCCAGAAAUAUAUAUAUAUAUAUUUUUUUUUUUUUGGAAAGUAGUACAAUACUCUUUGGUGGUGGUGAGAUAAGCACAUUUAAAGAAAAAAAAAGUGGUGGGGAGAGAAAUGAUUUUUUUUUUACAAAGUGUGAUUCUUUGACCAUUAAGAAAUGACUAACAGUUACAACUUCAGACUUACUGGAUUUCAUACCUACGAAGGGCAGGUGUUUGGAAAAGUGUAAUUGGAUAGGAAUAUCAGAACAAUGUUUUCAAUUCUGUUUACCUUUUCAAGGGAAUCUUGAGUCAUUCUGCAAUAAUAUAUUCAGGGUAUUUGAGCAUGUUUGUGUUGCGCAGGAAAUAGCACAUUCCAUUUGUUUGCAGUGGAGUGUGUAGCUAACAACCUAUUUUGUUCAUGUAAAUACAUGUUUACUCUUAUGUAAAUAUACACACUAACACAUACUAGUUGUAAUGUUUGGAGUUCCAUAGGAAAAAUUGGCCCUUGGUAUUUAUUCUCUUGCUUCUCUUUUCAUUGCAAUAGCUUAUAAUGAGAAGGAAUCCAAAUUCAGCACUGAACAACAAGAAUUUAAAGUUCAUUGUGAUGGAUGUUGCUUUCUAAUAUGAACCGUCUUGCCUGUAUAAAUCUUAGAAA